rnacentral:rRNA from 1 species
AUUGAACGCUGGCGGCAGGCCUAACACAUGCAAGUCGGACGGUAGCACAGAGAGCUUGCUCUCGGGUGACGAGUGGCGGACGGGUGAGUAAUGUCUGGGGAUCUGCCCGGUAGAGGGGGAUAACCACUGGAAACGGUGGCUAAUACCGCAUAACGUCGCAAGACCAAAGAGGGGGACCUUCGGGCCUCUCACUAUCGGAUGAACCCAGAUGGGAUUAGCUAGUAGGCGGGGUAAUGGCCCACCUAGGCGACGAUCCCUAGCUGGUCUGAGAGGAGGACCAGCCACACUGGAACUGAGACACGGUCCAGACUCCUACGGGAGGCAGCAGUGGGGAAUAUUGCACAAUGGGCGCAAGCCUGAUGCAGCCAUGCCGCGUGUGUGAAGAAGGCCUUCGGGUUGUAAAGCACUUUCAGCGGGGAGGAAGGCAUUAAGGUUAAUAACCUUAGUGAUUGACGUUACCCGCAGAAGAAGCACCGGCUAACUCCGUGCCAGCCGCCGCCGUAA